UACGAAGGGGGCUAGCGUUGUUCGGAAUUACUGGGCGUAAAGCGCGCGCAGGCGGUUUUCCAAGUCAGUGGUGAAAGCCCGGAGCUCAACUCCGGAAAUGCCAUUGAAACUGUAAAACUUGAGGACGAGAGAGGUGAGUGGAAUUCCCAGUGUAGAGGUGAAAUUCGUAGAUAUUGGGAAGAACACCGGUGGCGAAGGCGGCUCACUGGCUCGUUUCUGACGCUCAGGCGCGAUAGCGUGGGGAUCAAACAGG
rnacentral:rRNA from 1 species